rnacentral:lncRNA from 1 species
GGCUAACUAGCCUGGCUAACUAAAAUUGUGUUGUGUCCCCAGCUAAAGGUUGUGGUGGACAGAGGACCAAAUCCGCAAGGCAACAGCCCUGGGUCUCACAGCGGUGGUUGUGGAAGAAGUCAAGAACGCUAUAUGGAUGGAACCAACAUAUCGGACCAUGGCAGAAGCAACAUAUUGGAUCAUGACAGAACCAAUGUUUGAACCAUUGCAGAACCAACAUAUUGAACCAUGCCUGGUGUUUGGUGCUGCUGUUGACAUGAGGCACACACACACACACACACACACAGCCUAAGACCUCAACAGACAGUCUAACCAGGAAAGGUGCAACUAGGGAGUGACC